rnacentral:tRNA from 1 species
UGGGGGCUAGUGUAAAUGUGCACAUGUAAAUUUGGAUUACAGGGAGGAAGCAGCUACAUCCGCCCACAA